rnacentral:tRNA from 1 species
UGACUUAGUACUUUAAAUAAAAAGAUUUGAUUUGCAUUCAAAAAAUAGGUUGAUUCAGUCUCUAGGUCAU